GAUCAAUUCUUUGUACAAAUUUAGUAAAUUGAUUAAAUUUAAUUUAAUUUAUAUACAGAUAUGUAUGCUUUGAGUUAUUUUAAAAUUUGAAAUAAAACAUGAUUUUAUGCAUGUAUUUCCAUCUUCCUGUUUCAACCCCUAUAUAAAGGCUAUUGAAUUUAGUUUACUGUAGGAAUAAGUUAUUUAAAAAAAAAAUGUUAUUCUUGUCUGAUUAGUUAUUAAUAUUGACUUUUUAUUAUCACAUAUAAGGAUGUGCUUUAGAUUUUAAUUAGAUUGAUAAAUUAGGCCAAAAGUUUAUAAAAUUAGUUAAUUACGAAUUGUUGCAAACUAUUAAGUUUUGCUUAAACUUCCAGGAAUUUUGAAUGGAGGCGUUUUAUUUAUAAGUGUAUACAUAUGAUUGAUCAUACGAUGUCAGAAUAAGGUUUAAAUUAGACCCUUAUAAAAUUAUUCUAUUUAUUGAAUUAGGUGCGGGGAAUUUAAGAUUUUCAUCUCGGAAUUUGUUGACUUUAUUGUCUACGACAUUAAGUUUUGCAGUUCCAGAGUCGAAGUGGCCAUGGAAGUGGAGAAUGACUAGAGAUUUAGUAUUUCUAUGAAAAUUUAAGUUGAACUUGUCACUUUUCAGUUUAUCGUUUUUAUUUCAUGUCACCAUACAAGUUGUUGGGCAAGUGGAUUUUGAAUUAUUUUAAUCUUCGAUAGUCAAGAAAUUUUAUUUUA